rnacentral:rRNA from 1 species
AUUGAACGCUGGCGGCAGGCUUAGCACAUGCAAGUCGAGCGGAGAUGAGGUGCUUGCACCUUAUCUUAGCGGCGGACGGGUGAGUAAUGCUUAGGAAUCUGCCUAUUAGUGGGGGACAACAUUCCGAAUGGGAUGCUAAUACCGCAUACGUCCUACGGGAGAAAGCAGGGGAUCUUCGGACCUUGCGCUAAUAGAUGAGCCUAAGUCGGAUUAGCUAGUUGGUGGGGUAAAGGCCUACCAAGGCGACGAUCUGUAGCGGGUCUGAGAGGAUGAUCCGCCACACUUGGACAGAGAGACGGCCCAGACUCCUACGGGAGGCAGCAGUGGGGAAUAUUGGACAAUGGGGGGAACCCUGAUCCAGACAGGCCGCGUGUGUGAAGAAGGCCUUAUGGUUGUAAAGCACUUUAAGCGAGGAGGAGGCUACUGAGACUAAUACUCUUGGAUAGUGGACGUUACUCGCAGAAUAAGCACCGGCUAACUCUGUGCCAGCCGCCGCAGUAAUAC